UUUUGAGUUUUGAAACCUAUUAUUUUCGGCCAAACAUUGAUAUUUUUUCAAAAUAUUUUAUUUUGGUUUCAAAUAAUAUUGGCCCCAAUUUAGCUCCAUACAGCUGACUGCAUGCCUGUGUUAUUUCGGUCCUUCUGUCAUCAUAAAAUGCACUUUUUAAAAAAUUGACCUGAUUUCUUUAUCUCUUGCUAUCUUUCUGAUUACAUUGGUUCCAGUUUGGGACUCAUGUAGUCUUUUUAUCCGCUAAAAAUGGCUUCAAAAACACGCUAGGUGCGGCAGACAGUCCGCCUGCCUCACCACAAUAUACAUGCCACCAUUAGAGGGCGCCGGUGAGCCCAGAGCGUGUAUGUGACACCGCGGCUAAAAAAUAGUAGAUUUAGCGGUAGUAAAACAAGUGCAGCCGUCCAGUUACUCUUUAAUGUUGUUUAGCAUCAAUUUCUAAAUGGAGGAUUUGGUUUUUAAACCUCUAAACUCAAGAAUUAGUUCAGACACGUCAUUGGUAGUGAUCUCUACUGAGACAGAGAGACUUUUAACUCUGAAGAAAGAAAAGAAAUACUUCUACAAACAGAACAUUCAUCUGUUUCUUCAGGAGCAGCGCAGACUUCAUUCAUAAGUCAAAGAGAACUUUUCCUUCAGCAGAAGCCACACAUCACUUCCACAUCCAGCAUCUGAACCGGAGGAAGCUUGGAAUUCUCCGGUCCGUUCGGUGCAUCGGCUAACGGUAGUCAGCCCGGCGUGCCGGCCGCGCCACAGCUGAUGCGUGGAGAUGAUUCCUGGCGGGUCGCGCCGAGCGGCCUGGAUUUGUUUAACCCGGCAGCUCAACCUUCAGACAGAAACAUGUGCGCAGAACCGCCUCCUUGUCUGUGUCGUCUGCUGGGUCAGAACAGCCCGCUCCUCAUUGAAAGGACUCUCUGUGAGGUUUCCGCGGCAGAAGGACAUCUAUUAGGAGGUUAGCAAAACACUAUCAGGUAAUACGACCUGUAAUUACAGCAGCGGUGAGGAAACGCAGCGCCGGAGCCAGUAUGGAAACAAUCUGACAAUGCAAACACGGAGCCUCUGCACAUACAUGUGCGUGCACGUGCGUCCUCGUCCAGAUUGUGGCUGUGCGAACUGUCAAAUUGGAGUGGAUGGGUGGGUGUGGAGGGAGCACAUCUGGAGGGAAUUUAUUGUAUAAUUCAGUCUAUUAUUGCUGCGGUCGGUGCUUAAGGAGCACGCACACAAUUACUGUCCACUCUGCAAGGCUACAAGUGGCCUCUGGCCUAAACUAAUAAACUGUGGACGAGGGUGGAGAGAGCAGAAUUCAGUUGAGGUUAUCAUCAGCACGCCGCUCGCUGCUACCUCUCACACUGACACGCCGUUUAUUAACAAGGAGGAACACCUACUGUUAGGGACUGCGGUCUAAUUAAGAGUCAAUUGGCUUUAAUUAAAACGAAAAAAUGCAAGCAGGCGUCAAUUGUGAAGGUUUGAGUAAAGGUCACGUUUUAUUAAAGUUUGUGUGAAGAAACAGAA